rnacentral:rRNA from 1 species
CCCUUAGAUGUUCUGGGCUGCACGCGCGCUACACUGACACACCCAGCGAGUCUCCUGCCCUGACAGGGUUGGGUAAUCAUUGGAGUGUGUGUCGUGAUGGGGAUAGAGUAUUGCAAUUAUUGCUCUCGAACGAGGAAUUCCUAGUAAGCACAAGUCAGCAGCUUGUGCUGAUUACGUCCCUGCCCUUUGUACACACCGCCCGUCGCUCCUACCGAGGGGGUGAUCCGGUGAAUGAUUCGGACUUUGGCGUUUCUAGCUGCUAGCAGCGCUGAAGAAAGUUUUGUGAACCUUAUCACUUGGAGGAAGGAGAAGUCGUAACG